GAAUGAACGUUUAUGGUUAGCUUGAAAAAGAAAAUUAAAUUUUUUACUUUUAUUUGGUAAAACAAAUGAUGGACGGGUGAGUAAAACAUAGAAAUCAACCUUAGCAUAAUUGUUUAAUACAUGAAAAAAUUGAAUUGUUUUAAGAAAAGUCUAUGCAAGAUUAGGUAAUUAAUCUACUAAAAAAACGUAUUAAGCCUAUAAUCUUUAGUUGGUCUUUGAGGAUGAACAACCACAUUGGGAUUGAGAAUGGCCCAAACUUUAUUUAGGGGCAGCAGUGCGGAAUUUUGGGCAAUGAGUUAAAGCUUGACCCAGCUAAACCAUAUUUGUGAAGAAAGUAUACAGCUUUAAAACAUUUUGAAAUAAAUAAAAUAAUGAUUAUUUAUAGUAAAGUCCUGGCUAAUUUCGUGCCAGCAGCCGCGGUAAAACGAGAAGGGCAGACGUUAUUCGGAUUAAUUGGGCGUAAAAGAAUACGUAGGUGGAAAAUUAAAUUUUCAUUUAAAAUUUAGUGUUUUUAUUUACUAAGCGGUUAUUAAAAUGAUUUUCUAGAGUUUAAAAGAAGAUUAUAGAAUUUUAAAUGUAACGGUAAAAUGUUUAAUAUUUAAAGGAAUCUCGAAGGGUGAAGACAAUAAUCUAUUUUAAAACUGACAUUGAGGUAUUAAAGUGUGGGUAGCAAAAGGGAUUAGAUACCCCUAUAGUCCACACCCUAAACUAUGAGUGUGAAUUUUUUAAUUGAAGAAAAAAUAUAGCUAACGCAUUUUUAGCACUCCGCCUGGGAACUACGAUCGCAAGAUUAAAACUCAAAGGAAUUGACGGGGACCUAUACAAGCAGUGGAGCAUGUGGUUUAAAGCGACAAUACGCGUGAAACCUUACCAAUUUUUGAAUAAUUUGUUAUAAUAAUUACAGGUGUUGCAUGGCUGUCGUCAGUCCGUGCUGUGAAGUGUUUGGUUUAUUCCAAUGAACGGACGAAACUUUUUUAAGCUUUUAACUUAAACUACUUUUUAAGGAUAUCUUAAAGGAAGAAAAACAACGUCAAGUCUUCAUGACCCUAAUAAAUUGGGCUACUUUCAUGUGCUACAAUGAUUUUUUCAAUGAGAAACGAUAUUGCAAUAUUUAGUAAAUCUCAAAAUAAAAUCAUGUACAGAUUAUUUUCUGAAACUUGAAAAUAUAAAGUUGGAAUUGCUAGUAAUCGUAAAUAAGAAUGUUAUGGUGAAUUAGUUCUUAGGUCUUGUACACACCGCCCGUCACGCUACGGAAAUUUAUUUUAUUUGAAAAUUAUAAUCAUUUAUAAUUCAUGGUAAGAAAAAGACUGAAGU
rnacentral:rRNA from 1 species